CAACUACUCCCUCCGUUCGGAAUUACUUGUCGUGAAAAUGGAUGUAUCUAGAUGUAUUUUAGUUCUAGAUACAUUCAUUUCCGAGACAAGUAAUUCCGAACGGAGGGAGUACAUG
rnacentral:pre_miRNA from 1 species